GUUCAAAAAGGACCAAUUCUACAUCCUGGCAGUGAGAAUUGGUUGGAAACACAUAAACAUGGGGGCACCUGGGUGGCUUAGUCAGUUAAGCAUCUGACUCUUGGUUUCCUCUCAGGUCAUGAUCUCAUGGUUUGUGGGAUUGAGUCCUGCAUCUGGCUCUGUGCUGACAGUGUGAAGCCUGCUUAGGAUUCUCUCUCUCCCUCUCUCUCUGCCUCUCCCCCACUCAUGCUCCCUCAAAAUAAAGAAACAAACACACAUUUAAAAAAUUGUUCUGGAAACACAUAAACAUGAAAAUCAGGCUGGAUUUUUAAAUAAGCUAAGAAAACUGGUGCAUAAAGAACAUUGGAGAGACCAUUGAUGCUACAUAUUCAGUGAACCCCCCUAAGCUUUGUCCUUCUAAGAUUGGACCAUCUAGAAAUAUAGUACCUUGGGAGGUAUGUCGUGAUUAAUGAUACUCUCUUUUUGUUGCAGGUGGUGCCAAAAAAUUACCAGCAGACACUGGCUCUGGAUUUUGUUGAGAUGAUCAAGAGAAAGCCUGAUCAAAUGUCUCAUAUUGCUUUAGGAUUCCUUAUCUAAGGAAACCCUUGGUGAGCUCCUGGAUAUGGCUGUCUGAAGAAGGUCACAGCAUCCAUAAGUAUAUCUAUGAAAGGAAUGGAAAGUUCCUCACAUGUUCUCACCAAGAACAGUGACGCCAAUUCGGUCCAUCUGGUGUGUAAAGCUGCAGAGUGGUACCCAGAGCCUGAGGCAAGCUGGAAACCUCCAAGGACAUAAUUUAAAGCCACCCUCUGAAAAUGACGGAACAAAUGGGAAAGGCCUAUUCUCUAGUGAAACUUCAGUCCUGGUAAUUGAACUCAAAAAUUGUGCUCUGUUCCAUUCUCAACUCCAGGCUCAACCAGAAAAAGUGGACAACGAUUUCUGUUUCAGGGGAAGGAGUUCAUUACCAAUGGAGCUGCGCUGCAAAUGUUAAAAGAGGUCCCAUAACCACGAGGAAACUAUAGCAGAUGCACAUCUGGAAAAUGAAUAAAACCAGACCAUCUCAAAGGGCAGAGCCACCUCCUACCCUUUCCCACAAAGUGUAGAGAUCGCUUUGGAUUUACAGGAAUUCAUAGCCUUUGCCAAAAAACCUGCCUUUUUUCACAAUGGAUCGCCUAUUUCCUCUACGAGUUUGGUAUCUGUGCUGCGGAAAUUUCCUGGCUCACGGUUCCUUGGAAUUUCCUGAGUGAUAAGAGCACUGGGAGCAUCUUUUGUCAUCAUAUUUGGUCUCUUGGCCUCAGUUCCUGAAAUUGCUUCAGAGCCGUAGAGGUAACAAACCAGCAUCGAGUACUUCCUGCGAGCCAGGCUCUCUGUAAAUAUUUUAGACGUGGAGCCUUGCUUAAUCCCAGCGGCACCGCAGAGAUAAGUAUGAUCUCCCCUUUUACAAACGAGGGCGGCAAGACACUGAGACAGCUCUUUUCAACAAACAGAACAUGCUGGUGGAGCCAGAUGGAAUUCAGUCUGCUUGACUGGAAGUUUGUACAUACAAACAAUUCACUGUAUAAUGAUGAGGAAAUUGAGACUCAAAGAGUUUGUUAACUUGGCCACAGUCGGAAAACGAAUGCAUAGCGAAGCCACGAUUCUUCAGGCCCUUGCUCCUGGAAAAGGAGGGAGGGAGGACAGUGGCCACCAUGUAAUGCAAAGUGUGAAUUUCCCCACCCAGGAAAGAUGGUGGGCUGAGGUAAGUCAUGACAGCCAUCUUUGCAAUGCUCAGAAGUUGUCCUGAGGAAAAGGAAGUUGAUCUCUUCAGGGUGACCCCAAGAGGGCAGAGCUGUCAUCCCAAGGCCUGACUUCUGUCUUACUGAAGGAAGAUUUUAACUCAACAGCUGACAAGGAGUGGUUUCAGCAAGAAGUGGACUCCUUUCCACUGACAUGUGGUUCUCCACUUUUAACCUGCUCACUGAUCACCCAGGAGCUUGUUUUUACAAAACACAUACUCAAGACCUUUUUCCAGGGAUUCUCAGUAAGUGUGGAGCAGGACCCUGGGUGAACCUGUCCCAGGAGGUCAACACUAGGAUACUGAAGAGGCAACACGUGGCAACCCUACUAUUAAAGAGGGGAUUCCUUCAUUAUAGGGGAGGUUGGACUGGAUGAUCCCUAAGUUACCUUCAGAGUCACUGAAACCAGAACCGUAAAAAUAAAAUGCUGAGCUGCUAGGAACUAG